rnacentral:rRNA from 1 species
UACAGGGGGUGCAAACGUUGCUCGGAAUCAUUGGGCGUAAAGAGCUCGUAGGCGGUCUGUCGCGUCGGCUGUGAAAUCCCGAGGCUCAACCUCGGGUCUGCAGUCGAUACGGGCAAACUGGAGUGUUGCAGGGGAGACUGGAAUUCCUGGUGUAGCGGUGAAAUGCGCAGAUAUCAGGAGGAACACCGGUGGCGAAGGCGGGUCUCUGGGCAACAACUGACGCUGAGGAGCGAAAGCGUGGGGAGCGAACAGG